CCUACGGGUGGCAGCAGUGGGGAAUAUUGCACAAUGGGCGCAAGCCUGAUGCAGCCAUGCCGCGUGUGUGAAGAAGGCCUUCGGGUUGUAAAGCACUUUCAGCGGGGAGGAAGGCGGUGAGGUUAAUAACCUCAUCGAUUGACGUUACCCGCAGAAGAAGCACCGGCUAACUCCGUGCCAGCAGCCGCGGUAAUACGGAGGGUGCAAGCGUUAAUCGGAAUUACUGGGCGUAAAGCGCACGCAGGCGGUCUGUCAAGUCGGAUGUGAAAUCCCCGGGCUCAACCUGGGAACUGCAUUCGAAAUUGGAAGGCUAGGGUCUGGUAGAGGAGGGUAGAAUUCCAGGUGUAGCGGUGAGAUGCGUAGAGAUCUGGAGGAAUACCGGUGGCGAAGGCGGCCCCCUGGACAAAGACUGACGCUCAGGUGCGAAAGCGUGGGGAGCAAACAGGAUUAGAUACCCUUGUAGUC
rnacentral:rRNA from 1 species